UACGAAUUGUUUCUUAUUUGUGAAAGCUCGUCGAACGGAAGCAAAUCUCGCUUUACCCUUUUGAAAAAUAAAGGAAAAAGUUCGUAAACAGCGAAAGAGCCCAUCGAGUUAAACGCGAGACGAGAGCAAAAAAGAGGAUUUCAAAUUAAAAGAUCAUAUACCCAAAAUGGUUGCCGACAAUAUGGAAGGAGGUAAUGUGAGUGUUGCCGCACCCACUUCAACUGGAUCUAAAUGUAAUGUUGGCAUUAAGGAGGAAUUGCCCGAGGGCAAUUUUAUUAUGGUAUCUGUUGAUAUCGAUACAACUGGCCGCCGCUUAAUUGACGAGAUUGUCCAAUUGGCUGCCUAUACUCCAGAUGAUCAUUUUGAACAAUAUAUCAUGCCGUAUAUGAAUCUAAAUCCAGCAGCUCGCCAACGCCAUCAAGUUCGUGUUAUAUCGAUUGGUUUUUAUCGUAUGCUGAAGUCCAUGCAGACCUACAAGAUUAUUAAAUCCAAAUCGGAGAUAGCUGCUCUUAAGGACUUUCUCAAUUGGCUGGAGCAUUUGAAAUUGAAUAAUCCGAAAUCAGACGGUAUUGUCUUGCUUUAUCAUGAGGAACGUAAAUUUAUACCCUACAUGAUUUUGGAGUCGCUCAAAAAAUAUGGUCUUCUGGAAAGAUUCACCAAAUCAGUGAAAUCAUUUGCCAAUUCUUUGAAUUUGGCCAAAGCCUCAUUGGGGGAUAACAAUUCCAAGCACUACAGUCUACGCAAAUUGAGUAAGAUUCUCUCAUUGAAGGCAUCAUCUACCACUAGCACCUCCUCUACUACCAAGGAGGAGACUUCAUCAAGCAGCGGUGAUACUGUUGCUGAUAGCACAAGCAACGCUGAUUCCAGUAUCGGUAUCGAGAAGUCAAAUGCACCAAAAAAUAAUCUAGAAUACGAGCGAGAAAUAUUCGAUGGCAAUGCCAGUGUCCGAGCUAAGCUUACAUUCAAUGUGGCUUUGCAAUUGAGCAAUUCGAAAUCUGCCAUCGAGGUGGAGUCUUCAGAGGCUUUGGAUAAUCUAUUCAAUGCCUUGCAACCCUUUGCCAAGCCCAUUGAGGCUGAUAUACGUGAGCUAGACACUCAAAAUGAGAAUUUGGAACGUCAAAAUUCGUUUCGUCCAGUGUUCUUGAAUUAUUUCAAGACAACCCUAUAUCACAGGGUUCGUGCUGUCAAGUUUCGUAUCGUUUUGGCAGAGAACGGUUUUGAUUUGUCAUCUCUCAAAACCAUUUGGACGGAAAACAGCAGCGCAGGAGUGGACAAGGCAUUGCAGUCGAUAACUAGUUUGAAGCCUGAAGAUAAAUCUGAGCUUGUAGAAUUGCUGGAUAGCUAUUUCGAUCCCAACAAGACCAUUAUUAAGCCGGUCAUUAAAACCAACAAUCGCCGUCGUAGCCGUCGCACAAAUGGUGCAUCAUUGUCCAAAAGUGGAACAACUGGCGGUACUUCUAGUUCUCGUUCAGCCAGCACUGAAUUCGGAGCUGGUGGCGAUAAAUCGCAAAGUUUGUCUUCGGUGCCAGAUUCCACCACCACGAAGACCCCAUCGCCAAACAAAGCAGCCAAAAACGGUGGAUCAGUACGUCCACGUAAGCGUAGUUCUCGUCGUAGUUUGCCCUCAAGUGAGGUUAAAGCUACGUCAGUUCUUGAAGAAUCGUCUUCCAUAAAGGCGCAGCUGAACAAUACUGUUCCCGCUAUAUCUGUGGGAACUUCCUCUCCACCUACCAUAACCCAAGUGCCCAUUGCGGCCUCGAACUGAGAGCUGGGACAAUCCUGGCACUCUGUAAAUAUAAUGAAGUUGGCGGCUAGCUGCAGUGCAGUUCCAACCAACUUCAAUCAAA
rnacentral:misc_RNA from 1 species